rnacentral:rRNA from 1 species
UGGGGAAUAUUGGACAAUGGGCGCAAGCCUGAUCCAGCCAUGCCGCGUGAGUGAUGAAGGCCCUAGGGUUGUAAAGCUCUUUCACCGGUGAAGAUAAUGACGGUAACCGGAGAAGAAGCCCCGGCUAACUUCGUGCCAGCAGCCGCGGUAAUACGAAGGGGGCUAGCGUUGUUCGGAUUUACUGGGCGUAAAGCGCACGUAGGCGGACUAUUAAGUCAGGGGUGAAAUCCCGGGGCUCAACCCCGGAACUGCCUUUGAUACUGGUAGUCUUGAGUUCGAGAGAGGUGGGUGGAAUUCCGGGUGUAGGGGUGAAAUUCGUGGAUAUUCGGAGGAACACCAGUGGCGACGGCGGCUCACUGGCUCGGUACUGACGCUGCGGUGCGAAAGCGUGGGGAGCAAACAGG